UACGGAGGGUGCGAGCGUUAUCCGGAAUUACUGGGCGUAAAGGGCGUGUAGGUGGUUUGGUAAGUUGGUGGUGAAAACUCAUGGCUUAACUAUGGAAGUGCGAGUGAUACGGGUUGACUGGAGUGCUGCAGAGGAGAGCGGAAUAUCUGGUGUAGCGGUGAAAUGCGUAGAUAUCACAUAGAACACCGAUGGCGAAGGCGGGUUUCUAGGCGGUAAUUGACGCUGAGGCGCGAAAGCGUGGGGAGCGAACAGG
rnacentral:rRNA from 1 species